rnacentral:misc_RNA from 1 species
UUUCCGUAGGUGAACCUGCGGAAGGAUCAUUAUUGUAUAACCGAGGUGCGAGGGCUGUCGCUGACCCGAAAGGUCGUGCACGCCCGAGUGCCCUCACACACACCCACCUCACCCCUAUGUGCACCACCGCGUGGGUCCCCCUUUGGCUUGUUCGGAGGGGGGCUUACGUUUUCACACAAACUUUGUAUGCAGUGUAGAAUGUAUUUUUUGUUUUUGCGAUCACGCAAUCAAUACAACUUUCAACAACGGAUCUCUUGGCUCUC